UACGUAGGGUGCAAGCGUUGUCCGGAAUUAUUGGGCGAAAGAGCUCGUAGGCGGUUUGUCGCGUCUGCUGUGAAAACCCGAGGCUCAACCUCGGGCCGCAGUGGGUACGGGCAGACUAGAGUGCGGUAGGGGAGAUUGGAAUUCCUGGUGUAGCGGUGGAAUGCGCAGAUAUCAGGAGGAACACCAAUGGCGAAGGCAGAUCUCUGGGCCGUAACUGACGCUGAGGAGCGAAAGCAUGGGGAGCGAACAGG
rnacentral:rRNA from 1 species